rnacentral:rRNA from 1 species
AACGAACGCUGGCGGCAGGCCUAACACAUGCAAGUCGAGCGAGACCUUCGGGUCUAGCGGCGGAAGGGUGAGUAACGCGUGGGAACGUGCCCUUUUCUGCGGAAUAGCCUCGGGAAACUGAGCGUAAUACCGCAUACGCCCUAUGGGGGAAAGAUUUAUCGGAAAAGGAUCGGCCCGCGUUGGAUUAGGUAGUUGGUGGGGUAAUGGCCUACCAAGCCUACGAUCCAUAGCUGGUUUGAGAGGAUGAUCAGCCACACUGGGACUGAGACACGGCCCAGACUCCUACGGGAGGCAGCAGUGGGGAAUCUUAGACAAUGGGGGCAACCCUGAUCUAUCCAUGCCGCGUGAGUGAUGAAGGCCUUAGGGUUGUAAAGCUCUUUCAGCUGGGAAGAUAAUGACGGUACCAGCAGAAGAAGCCCCGGCUAACUCCGUG